AUUCCAGCUCCAAUAGCGUAUAUUAAAGUUGUUGCAGUUAAAAAGCUCGUAGUUGGAUUUCUGGUAGGAGCGACCGUGCCGAACUUGAUUGUUCGUGUAUUGUGUUGUCUUCAGCCAUCCUCGUGGAGAACUUUUCUAACAUUAACUUGUUGGGAUUGGGACCCGCGUCGUUUACUGUGAAAAAAUUAGAGUGUUUAAAGCAGGCAUUAGCUUGAAUACAUUAGCAUGGAAUAAUAGAAUAGGACUUAAGCCUCUUCUGUUGGUCUGAGGGGUGUAAGUAAUGAUUAAUAGGGAUAGUUGGGGGCAAUAGCACUUAACUGUCAGAGGUGAAAUUCUCGGAUUUGUUAAAGACUAACUUAUGCGAAAGCAUUUGCCAAGGAUGUUUUCAUCA
rnacentral:rRNA from 1 species